rnacentral:rRNA from 1 species
CCUACGGGAGGCAGCAGUGAGGAAUAUUGGUCAAUGGGCGCGAGCCUGAACCAGCCAGGUAGCGUGAAGGAUGACUGCCCUACGGGUUGUAAACUUCUUUUAUAAAGGAAUAAAGUGAGGCACGUGUGCCUUUUUGUAUGUAUUUUAUGAAUAAGGAUCGGCUAACUCCGUGCCAGCAGCCGCGGUAAUACGGAGGAACCGAGCUUUAUCCGGAUUGAUUGGGGUUAAAGGGAGCGUAGAUGGGUUGUUAAGUCAGUUUUGAAAGUUUGCGGCUCAACCGUAAAAUUGCAAUUGAUACUGGCAGCCUUGAGUACAGUAGAGGUAGGCGGAAUUCGUGGUGUAGCGGUGAAAUGCUUAGAUAUCACGAAGAACUCCGAUUGCGAAGGCAGCCUGCUGGACUGUAACUGACGCUGAUGCUCGAAAGUGUGGGUAUCAAACAGGAUUAGAUACCCCUGUAGUC